GAUGAAGAACGCAGCGAAAUGCGAUAAGUAGUGUGAAUUGCAGAAUUCCGUGAAUCAUCGAGUCUUUGAACGCACAUUGCGCCCCCUGGUAUUCCGGGGGGCAUGCCUGUCCGAGCGUCAUUGCUGCCCAUCAAGCACGGCUUGUGUGUUGGGUCCUCGUCCCCCCCGGGGGACGUGCCCGAAAGGCAGCGGCGGCACCGCGUCCGGUCCUCGAGCGUAUGGGGCUUUGUCACCCGCUCUGCAGGCCCGGCCGGCGCUGGCCGACGCGAAAGCAACCAUUUUUUCUCCAGGUUGACCUCGGAUCAGGUAGGGAUACCCGCUGAACUUAAGCAUAUCAAUAAGCGGAGGA
rnacentral:misc_RNA from 1 species